rnacentral:lncRNA from 1 species
AUGCCUUCUUUGAAAGUACAGCUCAGGGAAUUUGAUACUUUAAGGCCAUCAACUAAUCUUCUGAACAGGAGGUAUGCAAAGGAGGGACAGAGUCAAGACAUCAGAGAAAGUACACAGAUCCAUCUUGAUCUCUACUAAAUUACUCUCCUGCUAUAACAUUAAAAAUGAAUUCUGAAACAGCAUAACUCACAAAAGGGUGGGGUGAAAUAAAACUUUAGUAAAAAAGAAAACA